rnacentral:tRNA from 1 species
UCCCUGAUAGCUCAGUUGGUAAAGAAUCCGCCUGCAAUGCAGGAGACCCUGGUUCGAUUUCUGGCUGGGGAA